rnacentral:tRNA from 3 species
GGCGGCGUGGCCAAGUGGUAAGGCAAGGGCCUGCAAAGCCCCUAUUCGGCGGUUCGAAUCCGCCCGCCGCCUCCA